CUCUUAUCAAGAGUGGUCGAGGGACUGGCCCGAUGACACCCGGCAACCGGCAGCAAUGCAGUGGUGCUAAAUCCAGCAGAACGUUGUUCUGGAAGAUAAGAG
rfam:Anaerosporomusa subterraneum strain RT4 RT4_contig_8, whole genome shotgun sequence.